rnacentral:rRNA from 1 species
GACGAACGCUGGCGGCGUGCUUAACACAUGCAAGUCGAACGGAAAGGCCCUGCUUUUGUGGGGUGCUCGAGUGGCGAACGGGUGAGUAACACGUGAGUAACCUGCCCUUGACUUUGGGAUAACUUCAGGAAACUGGGGCUAAUACCGGAUAGGAGCUCCUGCUGCAUGGUGGGGGUUGGAAAGUUUCGGCGGUUGGGGAUGGACUCGCGGCUUAUCAGCUUGUUGGUGGGGUAGUGGCUUACCAAGGCUUUGACGGGUAGCCGGCCUGAGAGGGUGACCGGCCACAUUGGGACUGAGAUGCGGCCCAGACUCCUACGGGAGGCAGCAGUGGGGAAUAUUGCACAAUGGGCGGAAGCCUGAUGCAGCAACGCCGCGUGCGGGAUGACGGCCUUCGGGUUGUAAACCGCUUUCGCCUGUGACGAGGCGUGAGUGACGGUAAUGGGUAAAGAAGCACCGGCUAACUACGUG